rnacentral:rRNA from 1 species
UGAUGUGUAGGAUAGGUGGGAGGCUUUGAAGUGUGGACGCCAGUCUGCAUGGAGCCGACCUUGAAAUACCACCCUUUAAUGUUUGAUGUUCUAACGUUGACCCGUGAUCCGGGUUGCGGACAGUGUCUGGUGGGUAGUUUGACUGGGGCGGUCUCCUCCUAAAGAGUAACGGAGGAGCACGAAGGUUGGCUAAUCCUGGUCGGACAUCAGGAGGUUAGUGCAAUGGCAUAAGCCAGCUUGACUGCGAGCGUGACGGCGCGAGCAGGUGCGAAAGCAGGUCAUAGUGAUCCGGUGGUUCUGAAUGGAAGGGCCAUCGCUCAACGGAUAAAAGGUACUCCGGGGAUAACAGGCUGAUACCGCCCAAGAGUUCAUAUCGACGGCGGUGUUUGGCACCUCGAUGUCGGCUCAUCACAUCCUGGGGCUGAAGUAGGUCCCAAGGGUAUGGCUGUUCGC